UCCAGGGGAGCUUCCUGACCCGGGGAUCGAACCUGCGUUUCCUGAGCCUCCAGCAUUGCAGUUUCCUGUCCAGCACCUCAGCUCUGUGCAGGGCUGGAGGCCAGUCUGGGGAUCCAGAGAGACUGGCUGGGAUCCUGCAAGCUGCGUGGCCCCCGUGAACUUCAACAACUCUCUGAUCCUGCCUCAGAUCAAGCAUUGGAACCACGCCUCUGCCCUGCCUGACUCUGAGAAUUGCUACAGACCCUGGGCCCUUGCUGUUCUUCCCCACGCACCUGGGGAGAUGCUCUUACUUAUGAUAAUUAUUAAAACAAGAGUUGCAGUAUGUGCCAGA